AGUGAACGCUGGCGGUAGGCCUAACACAUGCAAGUCGAACGGCAGCACAGUAAGAGCUUGCUCUUACGGGUGGCGAGUGGCGGACGGGUGAGGAAUACAUCGGAAUCUACUUUUUCGUGGGGGAUAACGUAGGGAAACUUACGCUAAUACCGCAUACGACCUACGGGUGAAAGCAGAGGAUCUUCGUACCUUGCGCGAUUGAAUGAGCCGAUGUCGGAUUAGCUAGUUGGCGGGGUAAAGGCCCACCAAGGCGACGAUCCGUAGCUGGUCUGAGAGGAUGAUCAGCCAGACUGGAACUGAGACACGGUCCAGACUCCUGCGGGAGGCAGCAGUGGGGAAUAUUGGACAAUGGGGGAAAGCCGGAUACAGCCAUACCGCGUGGGUGAAGAAGGCCUUCGGGUUGUAAAGCCCUUUUGUUGGGAAAGAAAAGCAGCAGGUUAAUACCCCGCUGUUCUGACGGUACCCAAAGAAUAAGCACCGGCUAACUUCGUG
rnacentral:rRNA from 1 species